UACGGGGGGGGCAAGCGUUGUUCGGAAUUACUGGGCGUAAAGCGCACGUAGGCGGAUCGAUCAGUCAGGGGUGAAAUCCCGGAGCUCAACUCCGGAACUGCCUCUGAUACAGCACGUCUUGAGUUCGAGAGAGGUGGGUGGAAUUCCUAGUGUAGAGGUGAAAUUCGUAGAUAUUAGGAAGAACACCGGUGGCGAAGGCGGCCCACUGGCUCGAUACUGACGCUGAGGUGCGAAAGCGUGGGGAGCAAACAGG
rnacentral:rRNA from 1 species